GCCCGCGUGGCACAAUUGGUUAGCGCGUAAGACUUUUAUGGUUUCACUACCAGACAUCUUAAGGGUAAGCCGUUGUGUGCUACAAAGCAGAAGAAAAGUAAACUAACAACGCUACGCAGUUCUGAGUUCGAGACUCAGCGUGGGCG
rfam:Exophiala spinifera strain CBS 89968 unplaced genomic scaffold supercont1.9, whole genome shotgun sequence.